UUUUUUUUUCAAUUCAUUUCAUACCUUUCACCAAGUAUUUAGUUGGAGAUUCCCUCGCUUGACAAAUAGGAUCUCUUUACAAAUACCAAACAGGAAUCAUUUAUGAUACAAGUAGUAAUCAUAGAUAUAUUACCAAUUGGGUUUUUUCUAAACGGAGCCUGGAUACUUCAUUUUUUAGUCCAACCUGGCCAACCAUAAAUUAUUCUAAUUGAUAAUAGUAAUGUGAAUCCCCCCAAACAAUGGAUCUAAUUGUGCUUCACGCUCCAAAUUUUUUAUGAUUCAAUUUAUCUUUCUUGGGACUUAGAAGAAUAAAAUUUCUUAUUUCUUUCGUAUUUCGCAGUGAAAUACCUAAAAAAAUGAAAAAAUCAUGGUCGGGAAGGUUAUAGUAGCCAAAGCCAUUGGAAUUUUUUUUUUUAUGCAUUGGCAAAAUCCGUUUGGUUAUUAAUAGACCUGGAAAGGGAAAAAGAAUAACUGAAAGAAAGGAAAUCAAUUAGUUAUUUGUCAAAGUUUCAUUUAUUCAAUGACCAAAAUUAAACGCGGAUAUAUAGCUCGGAGACGUAGAACAAAAAUUCGUUUAUUUGCCUCAAGCUUUCGAGGGGCUCAUUCAAGACUUACUCGAACUAUUACUCAACAGAAAAUAAGAGUUUUGGUUUCGGUUCAUCCGGAUAGGGAUAAGCAAAAAAGAAAUUUUCAUCGUUUGUGGAUCACUCGGAUAAACGAAGUAAGGAUCACUUAUAGUUGUACACGGAAUCCCUAAUUCAAAUUGAAAUGUACAAUGAUCCAUAAGAUUUUCUUUUUCUUAAAACAGAAAAAAAAGACCCCCUUGUAGCGAGUAUUUCCGAAAAAUACUCAUUUUUUUUUACAAUGGGUUCUAUAUUUCGUAUAUAUAAAAUAAGUUUUUUACUUUUCUUAUUAUUAUAUGUUAAAUGAAACUAUUUUAGUAAAAUUUAAUUGUCUCAAUUCCCAGGGGAUCGCACCAAAAAUUCUAGUUCCUUUUGGAUUUCCUUCUUGAUCAAUUACAACUGCAGCAUUGUCAUCAUAUCGUAUUAUCAUACCGCUGUCACGUUUAAGUUCUUUACAAGUAUGAACAAUUAUAGCUCUAACUACUUUUGAUUUUUCUAGGGGCAUAUUUGGUACUGCUUCUUUGAUCACAGCAACAAUAACGUCACCAAUAUGAGCAUAUCGACGAUUGCUAGCUCCUAUGAUUCGAAUACACAUCAAUUCUCGAGCCCCGCUGUUAUCUGCUACAUUUAAAUGAGUCUGAGGUUGAAUCAAAUCAAUUUUUUAGUCUAUUCUUCCAAUGCAAAGGAUGAAGAAAAAAAUGAAUAUUUUUUGUCCAAAAAAAGAAACUUUCAUCCCCAAGAUUCAUUUCUGUUGGUUCUACAUUUUAUCAUGAAAUAAUGAAUUGAGUUCGUAUAGGCAUUUUGAAUGCUGCUAUUGAAAUAGCCCUUCUAGCUAUAUUUUCGGUUACUCCACCCAUUUCGUAUAGUAUUCGACUUGAUUUAACAACAGCUACCCAAUAUUCAAGGGAUCCCUUUCCCGAACCAUGGAUGAAACUCCACGUGAUCACUGCAACUUAGGUCCAGAUGGCAAGCGUAGAGAUGCUGAUGAAAGGCCUGAGCUGUGCAGAGGGACUGUUGAGUUUGUAGCUUCUAAGGAAUAUAUGAUCAACUAAUGGCAGUCUUCGGACCCUAGAAUCUAGUGGAAGACAGAUUAAAAGGGUCUAAGAUCCAAUGCCUUCUGUAUAUUUCUUCCUUAUUGAUGUAUCCAUGAAUGCCAUACAAACAGACGCAACUGCAGCAACUUGCAGCACAAUUAGCCAAGUUAUAGCUGAUCUUCCUAUUGACUGUGACAAAACAAUGAUGGUAACCCUAAAACACGAUGAUAAAUUGUAGGAUUGGUCAGAAUGUGCUUUCCAGAAGAAUCCAGGUCUCAACCUUGUCUCUGCCUUAUACCACCACUCUGAGUAAUUUGUUUCGGUUUGCUGACCUAGAUACCCUAUCUCCUUGUAUCUUGAAGCAAGUGACCGGAGAAGUUCCUUCAACUCCACUCCCACAAGCCACAGAGCAAGCAAAAAACCUUUGCAUCAACAUUCUGCAUUUAUAUCGCAAGUUCUGCGCGUCAGCUUCUGCACCUGGACAGCUUAUUCUUCCUGAGGCACUUAAAUUGUUACCUUUGUACACCCUUGGUAUAUCUCAUGUUGCUUCGAAAUUUGUACGUAUUGACUGUACACCAUGCAUUUAUCUCUCUGGACUCUGACCUUUGCUGCAGUCGCUCCUACCAAAUAUUUAAUCAUGUUGGCUCAUGCAGUUCGGCAGUUCCAAUUACCUACUCUUGUCAUUUUUAGACAGGACUUUGCUUGUGUUAAUGCAAUUCCAGUUAUCUGUCAAAUUCUCUUAGUGGAGGAACAAAAAUUCUUCUAUAAUUAUUAUCUUGUUUGUGCUUCAAUGAUGGCACCUUGUGUCAUCUAAAAGAACAAAAAGGAGGCCACUUCGCCCAUUAAUAACAGAUGAGACUACUUGUAGGUAAGUCAAUUGAAUCCUCAAGUUUUGUUAUUGAAGCUGCGUAUAUAGAAAGUGAACUUUGGUUUCCUAAAUUUUUAUAUAUUUGAAUUCCUAGAAUUUUUGUAUAAUUAGAGCCAUACUAAAUAGCAAAUUCUGUGACUGUUGGACGUGCAUUAUUUUUCUUUGACUAGGGUUUUCAUAUGGUUUCUAAGAAAUUAUUACUCCAAUUUUUUGCCUAUGUAAUUAUAAUUAGACUUGAUUUUAUGCACAGCAGAGAGUCGUGUCUUCUGGUAUAUUCCCCAUUUUGGGAUUCUGGUAUAUUCCCCAUUUUGGGAUUCUGAUGGAAGAAUUGAUGAUAGGUCAUUUUGGAUCAAUUAUGUUUCCAAUUUAUCUACUCCUUUGACAAUCCCAUUGGUAUACCUUAGGAUGAGAGCUAUUCACAACCUUGAUGAGAAGGUAUGAAUUUGUUCAUGUUGCUCGUUAUAAGUGUUCUUGACGUAUCCCUUGUUUUCUAUCUUAAUGCUGAAUUGUCAGGAGCUGGGUGAUUCCCUCAUUUCCCAAUGGUGAAGAUUGUUUAAUUUAUGUUGGUAGCUCUGUCAAUCCAGAGUAUUCUGACACACAUUCAUGGUUGAACAUUUUUUAUUUUUCUUGACGUACUAGGCAUCUUUAAACUACUUAAAUGAUGUUGAUAUCAUUUGGGAAUAACAUGCAAACAUGUUCCUUUGCCUUGCAAGUUAUCUGGGGAACUUCUCUGCCUAAAGAGUAUUUUUUAGGAACUUAGAUGUUCAACAAUGGUAUUCCCACUUAAUCGUCACCGUAGUACUUAGGGAAAAUGCCUUAAUUUCCAAAUUUUCCCUUUGCAGUAUGUACUGCAGCAAUAUGAUAAUUUAUUGUCACAGAAGCUGAACCUUAUCAAGUAGAUAAGGCGUCAAAGAUGUUCCUACCUACGUUAUGAAAAUGUUGUUCUUUGAAAAUGACCAGGACUACUUCACUGAAUAAAGUAAUUGUUUUUCUACCAGUAAUUUUUUUCCCCUCGAACCGCAGCUUAAAAUUGUGCAGAAAAGGAGAUCCAUCAGGUUAGCGAAUGGAAACCUAUUUAAACUAUCCAAACCGAGGAAAAAUAUGAGGGAAAAAAAAA